rnacentral:sRNA from 3 species
UGUAUCUGAAGUCUGACGAGGAUGAGAACCUCCGGGGGCAAGAGGUUCGACCCGAGCGAAGCGAGAGAACGUUGCGUCAGCAACGGCCCGCAGUGGCGAGUCAUCCUCUAUCACCGACCA